rnacentral:rRNA from 2 species
CGUCCUAUUAGCUAGUUGGUGAGGUAAUGGCUCACCAAGGCUACGAUGGGUAGGGGUUCUUAGUGGAAGGUCCCCCACACUGGCACUGAGAUACGGGCCAGGCUCCUACGGGAGGCAGCAGUAGGGAAUAUUGGUCAAUGGGCGCAAGCCUGAACCAGCCAUGCCGCGUGCAGGAUGAAGGCUCUCUGAGUUGUAAACUGCUUUUGUACAGGAGCAAAAAAAUCCCUGCGGGGGUUCUUGAGAGUACUGUAAGAAUAAGCACCGGCUAAUUCCGUGCCAGCAGCCGCGGUAAUACGGGAGGUGCAAGCGUUAUCCGGUUUUAUUGGGUUUAAAGGGUGCGUAGGCGGCUUAUUAAGUCAGUUGUGAAAUCCUAGUGCUUAACGCUAGAACUGCGAUUGAUACUAUU